rnacentral:rRNA from 1 species
CUCAGGACGAACGCUGGCGGCGUGCCUAAUACAUGCAAGUAGAACGCUGAAGACUUUAGCUUGCUAAAGUUGGAAGAGUUGCGAACGGGUGAGUAACGCGUAGGUAACCUGCCUACUAGCGGGGGAUAACUAUGGAAACGAUAGCUAAUACCGCAUAACAGCAUUUAACACAUGUUAGAUGCUUGAAAGGAGCAAUUGCUUCACUAGUAGAUGGACCUGCGUUGUAUUAGCUAGUUGGUGAGGUAACGGCUCACCAAGGCGACGAUACAUAGCCGACCUGAGAGGGUGAUCGGCCACACUGGGACUGGGACACGGCCCAGACUCCUACGGGAGGCAGCAGUAGGGAAUCUUCGGCAAUGGGGGCAACCCUGACCGAGCAACGCCGCGUGAGUGAAGAAGGUUUUCGGAUCGUAAAGCUCUGUUGUAAGAGAAGAACGUGUGUGAGAGUGGAAAGUUCACACAGUGACGGUAACUUACCAGAAAGGGACGGCUAACUACGUGCCAGCAGCCGC